CAUAUAUUUAUUUCGAUAUGUUAUAUUAUUUUUUUAAUUCCACUUGAUUGAAUUUAUUUUUCGCUUUCAGUUAAUUCUGUAGCUUGAAGUGAUAAUAAUUUUUAUGAACAAAUGCUCGAUAACCUAUCCUUUCCCACUAAUACAGAUUUACUUUCAGAAAAUUUUUGUGAUCGCGCGCAAUGCGAUCGGUAGAAUCAGUGUUUGUUUCGUAAUAAAGUAUCUUUAAUAUUUUUUAGAGCACAGCUGCUCUAAUUUAAUUAAAUUAUAACAAUCAUUCGCGAAAUUAGAGUCAGUGUUUGUUCGCCGAAUAUUAAAUACGGACGCGUCAGUAGUUCAUUUAUUUAUUUUUUUUUUUUCUUACAAAUUUUCGUUUUCGGCACAGGGUAAAAUCAGUGAUCUCAAGAACAUAAGGCGAUCAUCCAUCACGCGAAGAGGUACUGUUAUCGUGUCAUCCUCUGGACUUUU